CAAACUUCAUUCAUUCAAACCAAACAUUCAAAGGGAGCCAACAAUUGUUUCACCUUAAGCAAAGCAAAUCCACGACCAACUCAAGCCGUGGCCAUCUAUUGGUGAAGGGAGAAGAGUUUUUCAAAAAAUUUCAAGGCUUUUUUGAAUUCUUUAAGGAACAAAAAGAGGAUUGUGGGAUCCAAAGCCAUGUCAUCAAAUAACGUGCUUGUAGAUGUAGAAGAAUUUUCCAGUAGUCAUCCUUCCCCUAGUACCAGCAAACCUACCCAAAGGAAUAGGACUAAGACUAAUGCUGUGAGAGUAUAUUUUGAAGCAAGUCGUAUCGCCUCUUAUUUCGAAAGUAUGUUCUAGGUUUGUGAUUGUGUCAAAGUCCAUGAGCUUAGCUUUGGUGGCAAAGUGUUCGGUAGAGCUCCUGCAUCCAAUGAGCACAGUUGUUCCCCUCCACAUGAGAAUUGUAUGUGUGAGGAUCCUCCCUACUCAUGGGGCGGGCAUGCUUCCAUUGGCCUCCUACUUUUGGAACAUUCUUGGAGCCUUGGGACUGGCUCCCUUUCAGUUGUCUUCCAAUAGUUAUAGGAUUUUCGUAGGGCUUAAGUCUCUUUACCAUAUGUUGGAGCUUGGAAACCCAACACAUGCGAAGGUGUUAUACAUGUAUCAACCGAGGGCCUAUCCUACUGGGAAGAGAAAACACGGCAACAUAUUUUACUAUCUUAGUUGUGUGACAACUCCAAUAAUAAUAGAAGGCCUUCCCAAUCAGCCACUUGACAAGAAGAAUGAGUUCUUCUAGAUGUGGGAUCCACCUGGCAACCAUGGCUUUAAGUGCAUAAGUACUACACAUUGCACUUUGGCUCCAUUCGAUAAUUAUUAUUUGUUUUUUGUAAGUACUUACUUGCAUUCUUGCCUUUUUAAGGGUCAUUCCCAUCCAACCAUAGGACUAGUUGAUUGAGAGAGUGAGUUUUAUUUAGAUCAUUGAUGUCCACAAGUGAAACCUUCUCUUUCUCCUCCAUGAAAACCACCUUAGAGUAUGUGAUCCAACUCAUCCUUCUCAGAAACAACGAGCCAAACUAGUGUUGACUCUUAACACCCCUGUCUAAGCCCUGUGCCCUGAGCACAAUGAGUGUGAAACCAGCAAGCCGGGAGGUAAAGUGUGUGACUUGUAUCUUAGGCUUUCAAGUAGAGCUUGGUGGUCCUCUACACUUCUCUCUAAGCAUCUCCCCAUUUAUACCCAUAAUGAUCAUAAAUAUACCUUGCCUCUGUAUGACGAAGUAGAUGGGAAAGUCCAUAGGUGGGAUCAUUUGUCGAUGAUUAGGGAGAUGCUCUAUGCGAGCAUCCCCACUUUAAAGGUAUUGUAUGCAUUGGGGUUGGAUCAAAUGGCUCAAACCUUAUGUUUGGAAAAGAUAAAACUUUAGUGCUUCCCUUGGAGAGAGCGCAUAUAGCUUUAGGAAAAGGUCAUUCCUUUAUUUCCUUGCUUAAUGUCUUGACGUGACUUGGAUAUAUGCUUGUGGUUGCAUUUUGCCUUUAUGUUGUUUCCCAUAAUUAUGAAAUGCACUUAGCUUGCUGUUUCAUAAUUCUUGUAGUGGUUGACAUGUGCAUUUCCCUUUGAUGAAAAAGCCAUGCCUCCCCCUCCGGCUAAGUAACCUUCUUCAGCUACAGUUGCUCCAUUCCUAAAGGUCUUACUGAAUGCCACUGCCGCACCUUCACAGGAAGUCUCCACAUCUGCAGGCCCCUCUCCUACAGCCGCCUCACCAUUGGGCUUGGGCUGAUCUAGCUUGUUGCCUUUAGUGGCUAUUGUAGCAUUACCUACGAGGUCGUCUGUUCCAUUGGUGGCUCCUCCCUUUAAGUAGCCUCGGGACCUAGUCAUGGGACCAUCACCUAGUACUGCCGCAGACGAAAAUAUUUUCUAGGAGUUAGCCCAGGGUCUCGUAUUCCAGGAAAAGGCCUCUGAUGCUUACGUUGCCCAGAGUGGGGAAGUGUUAAAAAACAUUAGCACCAGAAUCUCGACCUUACACACUUCAACCAGUGGGGCCUUUGAUAGUGACCUCGUCCCAAUCAAUAAUUUGGAUCAACAAUGCUUUGGCUCUCUCACUAUGAGAAGUGUAAAGACCUUGAGAAGCAUAAUUCGGAAGCCACAUUGAAAAUUAAGGAGCUUGAAGAAAAGCUUGCUCCUUCUCAAGAUGCAUCUAAGAAGAAGUUAAAAGAAGCAGGCACCAAGUAGAAGGCUACUGAAGACAAGGCUAAAGCCAAAAAUGAUGAGCUUGGUACCUUGAAUGCCAAGCUUCUUAAACUUGAGGCUGAGUGAAAACUCUUGAGUGACAAUUAUGUCAUAGCCAAUGGUAAGCUGGAUUCGGAGAACAUAAAUGCCUUGGAGAUUAUUGAGUAACUUAAGAUAGAUUAAAAGGUAGAUUAAUCGCAUUAAAACUUAUACCAAGGAAAACUCCGCGGAAUUUCUCAUAUUAUGUUGAUGCUAGAUGACUUGGACUUCAAGUUCAUGAGUAAAUUUUUAGGUGAGUUCGAGGAACAUUGUCGCAAGGACUGAGGCGACUGCGACUGAGGAGAAGGGAAAAGAGGCCACUUCUCAACCAGCCCCAAAAUCUUGAGAAGAGGAAUGACAUCGGAGAGUGGUGGGAUGUUGGCAGUGCUCCCCCUUGGAGUGGUAUUUCAUGCAAAAGCUGCCAUGUGGCAGUGCUCUCCAUGGAAUGAUAUUUCAUGCAACAGUUGUCAUGUAGCAGUGCUCUCCAUGCUUUACUUUAUGCAUUUUAUUUUUUUAUGUGAGUGUAUUGUGUUUGUCUCCUUUUACCAUAUACAUUUAUCUUGGUUGUAUAUUGAUACUUGGGCCCACAUGGGUGGGUUUACUUAUGUCCACUUGGUGUGGAGUGCUUGCUAGUUAAAACUAACAAAUCUUUUUCACAUCUUUGGAAUUUUUUAAGCAUAUAUAACUUAUUUUAUUCCAUAUCUUAGUGACUUUGGAAUUUUAAGUUGAAUAUAUUUUUUUACUUAUUUUA